rnacentral:rRNA from 2 species
CUCUGGUAUUGAUUGGUGCUUGCAUCAUGAUUUACAUUUGAGUGAGUGGCGAACUGGUGAGUAACACGUGGGAAACCUGCCCAGAAGCGGGGGAUAACACCUGGAAACAGAUGCUAAUACCGCAUAACAACUUGGACCGCAUGGUCCGAGUUUGAAAGAUGGCUUCGGCUAUCACUUUUGGAUGGUCCCGCGGCGUAUUAGCUAGAUGGUGGGGUAACGGCUCACCAUGGCAAUGAUACGUAGCCGACCUGAGAGGGUAAUCGGCCACAUUGGGACUGAGACACGGCCCAAACUCCUACGGGAGGCAGCAGUAGGGAAUCUUCCACAAUGGACGAAAGUCUGAUGGAGCAACGCCGCGUGAGUGAAGAAGGGUUUCGGCUCGUAAAACUCUGUUGUUAAAGAAGAACAUAUCUGAGAGUAACUGUUCAGGUAUUGACGGUAUUUAACCAGAAAGCCACGGCUAACUACGUGCCAGCAGCCGCGGUAAUACGUAGGUGGCAAGCGUUGUCCGGAUUUAUUGGGCGUAAAGCGAGCGCAGGCGGUUUUUUAAGUCUGAUGUGAAAGCCUUUCGGCUCAACCGAAGAAGUGCAUCGGAAACUGGGAAACUUGAGUGCAGAAGAGGACAGUGGAACUCCAUGUGUAGCGGUGAAAUGCGUAGAUAUAUGGAAGAACACCAGUGGCGAAGGCGGCUGUCUGGUCUGUAACUGACGCUGAGGCUCGAAAGUAUGGGUAGCAAACAGGAUUAGAUACCCUGGUAGUCCAUACCGUAAACGAUGAAUGCUAAGUGUUGGAGGGUUUCCGCCCUUCAGUGCUGCAGCUAACGCAUUAAGCAUUCCGCCUGGGGAGUACGGCCGCAAGGCUGAAACUCAAAGGAAUUGACGGGGGCCCGCACAAGCGGUGGAGCAUGUGGUUUAAUUCGAAGCUACGCGAAGAACCUUACCAGGUCUUGACAUACUAUGCAAAUCUAAGAGAUUAGACGUUCCCUUCGGGGACAUGGAUACAGGUGGUGCAUGGUUGUCGUCAGCUCGUGUCGUGAGAUGUUGGGUUAAGUCCCGCAACGAGCGCAACCCUUAUUAUCAGUUGCCAGCAUUAAGUUGGGCACUCUGGUGAGACUGCCGGUGACAAACCGGAGGAAGGUGGGGAUGACGUCAAAUCAUCAUGCCCCUUAUGACCUGGGCUACACACGUGCUACAAUGGAUGGUACAACGAGUUGCGAACUCGCGAGAGUAAGCUAAUCUCUUAAAGCCAUUCUCAGUUCGGAUUGUAGGCUGCAACUCGCCUACAUGAAGUCGGAAUCGCUAGUAAUCGCGGAUCAGCAUGCCGCGGUGAAUACGUUCCCGGGCCUUGUACACACCGCCCGUCACACCAUGAGAGUUUGUAACACCCAAAGUCGGUG